rnacentral:rRNA from 2 species
GUAACGCGUAUCCAACCUGCCUCUGACUGAGGGAUAACCCGUCGAAAGUCGGCCUAAUACCUCAUGGCAUCGUCUGCGGGCAUCCAACGACGAUUAAAGAUUUCAUCGGUCAGGGAUGGGGAUGCGUCUGAUUAGCUUGUUGGCGGGGUAACGGCCCACCAAGGCUACGAUCAGUAGGGGUUCUGAGAGGAAGGUCCCCCACAUUGGAACUGAGACACGGUCCAAACUCCUACGGGAGGCAGCAGUGAGGAAUAUUGGUCAAUGGGCGGGAGCCUGAACCAGCCAAGUAGCGUGCAGGAUGACGGCCCUAUGGGUUGUAAACUGCUUUUAUGCGGGGAUAAAGUGAGGGACGUGUCCUUCAUUGCAGGUACCGCAUGAAUAAGGACCGGCUAAUUCCGUGCCAGCAGCCGCGGUAAUACGGAAGGUCCGGGCGUUAUCCGGAUUUAUUGGGUUUAAAGGGAGCGUAGGCCGUGGAUUAAGCGUGUUGUGAAAUGCAGGUGCUCAACGUCUGCACUGCAGCGCGAACUGGUCCACUUGAGUGUGCGCAACGCAAGCGGAAUUCGUCGUGUAGCGGUGAAAUGCUUAGAUAUGACGAAGAACUCCGAUUGCG